rnacentral:rRNA from 1 species
CCUACGGGUGGCAGCAGUGGGGGAUAUUGCACAAUGGGGGAAACCCUGCUGCAGCGACGCCGCGUGAGUGAAGAAGUAUUUCGGUAUGUAAAGCUCUAUCAGCAGGGAAGAAAAAAGACGGUACCUGACUAAGAAGCCCCGGCUAACUACGUGCCAGCAGCCGCGGUAAUACGGAGGGGGCAAGCGUUAUCCGGAUUUACUGGGUGUAAAGGGAGCGUAGACGGCAAUACAAGUCGGCAGUGAAAUACCCGGGCUCAACCUGGGAACUGCUUUGGAAACUGUAUGGCUAGAGUGCUGGAGAGGUAAGCGGAAGUCCUAGUGUAGCGGUGAAAUGCGUAGAUAUUAGGAGGAACACCAGUGGCGAAGGCGGCUUACUGGACAGUAACUGACGUUGAGGCUCGAAAGCGUGGGGAGCAAACAGGAUUAGAUACCCUGGUAGUC